rnacentral:rRNA from 1 species
AGAGUUUGAUCCUGGCUCAGGACAAACGCUGGCGGCGUGCGUAACACAUGCAAGUCGGACGAGGCAAUCUUCGGAUUGUCGAGUGGCGGACGGGUGAGUAACACGUGAGUGACCAACUCUCCAGUGGGGGAUACCCGGCGGAAACGCUGGUUAAUCCCGCAUACGAUUCUCUUUGAGAAAGAAAGCAGCAAUGCGCUGGA